rfam:Bacillus sp. WF146 contig341, whole genome shotgun sequence.
UCCGCCGCGAGGCGGAAUCUGAAGGAAGCCGGCGGCAAAGUCCCGACCUGAGGUACACGAACCCGAUUUGAGGCUGUUGUACUUGGGCGAGCCUGCCGCACAAGGUGAAGCCCCAUACAGCCAAAGGGUACAACAGUAAAUUGGGCAGGUACAUGGGACGAAGGCUACCGCU